GAUGAAGAACGUAGCGAAAUGCGAUAAGUAAUGUGAAUUGCAGAAUUCAGUGAAUCAUCGAAUCUUUGAACACACAUUGCGCCCCUUGGUAUUCCGAGGGGCAUGCCUGUUCGAGCGUCAUAUUAACCACUCCCGCUUGCGGGGUCUUGGGCUUCGCCUCCGGGCGGGCCUUAAAAUCAGUGGCGGUGCCGUCGGGCUCUACGCGUAGUAAAUUUUCUCGCGAUAGGGUCCCGGUGGAUGCUUGCCAACAACCCCCAACUUCUUAAGGUUGACCUCGGAUCAGGUAGGGAUACCCGCUGAACUUAAGCAUAUCAAUAAGCGGAGGA
rnacentral:misc_RNA from 1 species